AUCCCUGUAGCGCAAUGGAUAGCUCGUUGGACCUCUAAUCCAAAGAUAGUUCGAAUCCCACCUGGGAUG